AGUUCAUGGUGAGGACACUUUCUAAGCAUCUUCUUGAACCUAUCCCAAGCUUCAUUUAACGUUUCAUCAUCAAAUUGCUGAAAAGCAAUAGCUUCAUUUAUCAACC